rnacentral:rRNA from 1 species
AUUGAACGCUGGCGGCAGGCCUAACACAUGCAAGUCGAGCGGAUGAAGAGAGCUUGCUCUCUGAUUUAGCGGCGGACGGGUGAGUAAUGCCUAGGAAUCUGCCUGGUAGUGGGGGAUAACGUUCCGAAAGGAACGCUAAUACCGCGUACGUCCUACGGGAGAAAGCAGGGGACCUUCGGGCCUUGCGCUAUCAGAUGAGCCUAGGUCGGAUUAGCUAGUUGGUGAGGUAAUGGCUCACCAAGGCGACGAUCCGUAACUGGUCUGAGAGGAUGAUCAGUAACACUGGAACAGAGACACGGUCCAGACUCCUACGGGAGGCAGCAGUGGGGAAUAUUGGACAAUGGGCGAAAGCCUGAUCCAGCCAUGCCGCGUGUGUGAAGAAGGUCUUCGGAUUGUAAAGCACUUUAAGUUGGGAGGAAGGGCAGUAAGUUAAUACCUUGCUGUUUUGACGUUACCGACAGAAUAAGCACCGGCUAACUUCGUGCCAGCCGCCGCCGUAAAAC